CAUUCACUCUACAACCACAUGAAGCAUCACUAAAUUUUCAUUACAUUCCAUUAGUUCAUACUGCUAAAAGGUAGACUGCAUUAUAAGCACAACAAUUAGAUAGCAGUACAAGAAGGGCCCAUGAAAUGAAGGUUACUUCUAUAUGCAUUAAAGUAUGAAAAAGAGACAGGAUAUUCUCACAGCGAUGGCAGGUUAUCUCAAACUUUUGUGCCUUUUGAGCUCCUCCCACUUUACAGGAGACCUUUACUAGUCGAUUCCAUUGAUACAAGAGACAUGAUAUGGCUCUAAUACGCAAAACUCAGGAAACAGAAGAUCAUUUCAAAACCAUUUUGUUUUAUGUGAUUAAUUAGGACCAUGGAUCCUGAUUAGUUGAGAUAAGGUUUCACUUUCCUGGCUAUUAGGGGUGCAUAUGGAAUCACAAUAUCAUGGAAAACCACUCAAGUCAAUAAUCAGAAUUACAGAUAUUAUUAUAAUAGAAAAUAAUAAGACCAAAUGAAA
rnacentral:misc_RNA from 1 species